AAGGGAUCAAAGAUUCAUAAAAGAGUUAUACACUGCAUAAAGCAGCUGCAAAGAGGAUACUAAAUAGCUACCUGGUGAAGACACAAGAUAGAAAAGGACAAACAAACAUGUAUGUGUACAUUACAUACAUUAAGCCAUAAGUAUACCUGCGGAUAUAUUAAAAGACAUGAAACAGAAGUGAGAAAAUGUCAACAUCAGUCAUCUAUGAAUGAAGAUGGAGAUCAAGUCUAUAUUCUAAAAUUUCUGAGGAAAAUGGUGUUGUCUGGCUCAUCCAAUGAUCACUCCAUUUGCAGACUACCAGCCAGGUUCCAAUCUGAAGUAUACAUAGGAAGAGCAAAAUCUUUUUCAUUCAUAUAAACACUUACUAGCUGUGAUCCAGAAGAAUG